UGCAAGUCGCACGGAUCUUUCGGGAUCAGUGGCGGACGGGUGAGUAACGCGUAGGGAUCUAUCCAUGGGUGGGGGACAACUCCGGGAAACUGGAGCUAAUACCGCAUGAUACCUGAGGGUCAAAGGCGCAAGUCGCCUGUGGAGGAACCUGCGUUCGAUUAGCUAGUUGGUGGGGUAAAGGCCUACCAAGGCGAUGAUCGAUAGCUGGUUUGAGAGGAUGAUCAGCCACACUGGGACUGAGACACGGCCCAGACUCCUACGGGAGGCAGCAGUGGGGAAUAUUGGACAAUGGGCGAAAGCCUGAUCCAGCAAUGCCGCGUGUGUGAAGAAGGUCUUCGGAUUGUAAAGCACUUUCGACGGGGACGAUGAUGACGGUACCCGUAGAAGAAGCCCCGGCUAACUUCGUGCCAGCAGCCGCGGUAAUACGAAGGGGGCUAGCGUUGCUCGGAAUGACUGGGCGUAAAGGGCGCGUAGGCGGUUUAUGCAGUCAGAUGUGAAAUCCCCGGGCUUAACCUGGGAACUGCAUUUGAGACGCAUAGACUAGAGGUCGAGAGAGGGUUGUGGAAUUCCCAGUGUAGCGGUG
rnacentral:rRNA from 1 species